rnacentral:rRNA from 1 species
GACGAACCACACAAACGUUAUUCGGAAUCACUGGGCUUAAAGGGCGCGUAGGCGGGCUGACAAGUCUGGGGUGAAAUGCCGCGGCUCAACCGUGGAACUGCCUUAGAUACUGUCGGCCUCGAGGAAGGUAGGGGCAUGCGGAACUGUAGGUGGAGCGGUGAAAUGCGUUGAUAUCUACAGGAACUCCGGUGGCGAAAGCGGCGUGCUGGACCUUUUCUGACGCUGAGGCGCGAAAGCUAGGGGAGCAAACGGG